rnacentral:rRNA from 1 species
UACAGAGGGGGCAAGCGUUGUUCGGAAUUACUGGGCGUAAAGGGCGCGUAGGCGGCCUUCUAAGUCAGACGUGAAAUCCCCGGGCUCAACCCGGGAACUGCGUCUGAUACUGGAGGGCUUGAAUCCGGGAGAGGGAUGUGGAAUUCCAGGUGUAGCGGUGAAAUGCGUAGAUAUCUGGAGGAACACCGGUGGCGAAGGCGGGUCUCUGGGCCGAUACUGACGCUGAGGAGCGAAAGCGUGGGGAGCGAACAGG